CAGACGUCUCGCACGGUCUCAAAACAGGUUUUGUUGUUCCGUUCCACUCUUUCAUAACAAGGCCAAACUUAACCGAGGAUAAUCGAGAGUCUGGGUCCGACGGGAGAGCGCUCCAAUCGAAAGGCUCUGAUCUACAGGAAAACUAAACAUGUGCCAUAAUAAUGUUUUAUAUGCCACAUAAACAUUUUAAUAGACCUCCUGAAAUGCUGACUCAUUUGUCUGGCAGACAAAAUAAAGAUGGCUCGUGAAAACAUUUGGCUUGACCUUUACCACCCAGAAUAACCCGCAACUCAUGGGGCUUGCCUGCCGAUUCAAGUAGAUUCUGGUAGACCAAAUAUUAUCUCGAACUUCGGCGUUGAAAAAACAAAAUCCUUCAUUUUAAUGUUACAUUCGUAUAUCAACGGUGUGAAACGGCCUAAGGUCAUAAUAAUGACAGCUUCCUUUUCCCUUUUUUAUUCUUCAUGGUUUUUUUUUUCAUAGUUACUGUUCCUUACACAUUGCGUUUCCGAGUGGCAC